AUUUUUUAUUAUAAAAGAGCUUGAAGAUUAGACAGAUAAUUUUUGAUUGAACAAAGAUCUCUCAAGAACACACACAUGACUGAGAAUAAAAACAGAGAAAAAAACAGAGUACUGAGGAAUUGGGCAAUGAAGCAGCCACUUAUUUACUCUUAGCAUUAUUACUGUAACUGAAGCAGAACUAUUUUGUUUUCUUUUUAGUUUUUAGAAAUGUCUCACUGAAGGAUCUUCUGGGAAGCUGAGCAUUAUUACUGUUACUGAAGCAGAGCCUUUUAGAAAUUCCUCACUGAAGGAUCUUCUGUGAAGCUGGCCUCUUGGUGAUCUCAGCCACCCACUUGUUGACAUGUGGACGCUCGGUGAAAAGCUUCUUGGUGGGAGUUUCAAGCAAGUAUUGAACCGCAGGAAUGUGGUGAAGAUCGGUCAAAGUAAAGCCAAGUACUUGAACUCCUAAAGCCGUGCCUCGUAGACGUUAAGGACCUUGGCUAACUUAGCCUCCUCUUCGGCGACAACGGCUUGGUCUGUGGUCAAGCCUUUCAGCCGAUUUUAAUGUAGUUUAUAAAAUUUGAGUCUAAAAUUUCAGAUCCCACAAAGGCACAAAACAUGGAGACUGUUAAGUAUAAGAACGUUCAAAGUCUUAGCUUAGCUCCUUUAAAAAUAAGGUAGACACUAAGAACUUGCAAAGACUAAUCAAACUAAAAUUAAAAGUCUUUGUAUAAUGUAUAAUAUUCUCAGUAAUAACUCUGCAGUUAAGACAUUGCAGUUAAGACAUUGCAACCUUUGUAUUAAUUAACUAACCUUUUUAUUAUAAAAGAGCUUAAAGAUUAGAUAGAUAGUUUUUGAUUCAACAAAGAUCUCUCAAGAACACACACACACAUAACUGAGAAAGAAAAACAGAUUAAUGAGAAAUUGGGCAGUGAAGCAGCCACUUAUUUAGUCUGAGCAUUAUUACUGUUACUGAAGCAGAGCCUUUUAGAAAUUCCUCACUGAAGGAUCUUCUGUGAAGCUGGCCUCUUGGUGAUCUCAGCCACCCACUUGUUGACAUGUGGACGCUCGGUGAAAAGCUUCUUGGUGGGAGUUUCAAGCAAGUAUUGAACCGCAGGAAUGUGGUGAAGAUCGGUCAAAGUAAAAGU
rnacentral:lncRNA from 1 species